GGCGAACGCUGGCGGCGUGCUUAAGACAUGCAAGUCGAACGGCAGUCUUCGGACUGUAGUGGCGCACGGGUGAGUAACGCGUAACUGACCUACCCCAAAGUCGCGGAUAACGAUUCGAAAGAAUCGCUAAUACGUGAUGUGCUGUCAGAUUGUGUUCUGCCAGUAAAGAUUGAUUGCUUUGGGAUGGGGUUGCGUUCCAUCAGCUAGUUGGUGGGGUAAAGGCCCACCAAGGCGACGACGGAUAGCCGGCCUGAGAGGGUGGCCGGCCACAGGGGCACUGAGACACGGGUCCCACUCCUACGGGAGGCAGCAGUUAGGAAUCUUCCACAAUGGGCGAAAGCCUGAUGGAGCGACGCCGCGUGAGGGAUGAAGGUCUUCGGAUCGUAAACCUCUGAAUCGGGGACGAAAGACACUUCGGUGGGAUGACGGUACCUGAGUAAUAGCACCGGCUAACUCCGUGCCAGCCGCCGCCGUAAUAC
rnacentral:rRNA from 1 species